rnacentral:tRNA from 1 species
GCCUUGUUAGUUCAGUUGGUAGAACGCUCGACCGAUAAUCGAGUGGUCGCAAGUUCAAGUCUUGCACAAGGCACCA